GAAUGAAGAACGUAGCGAAAUGCGAUAAGUAAUGUGAAUUGCAGAAUUCAGUGAAUCAUCGAAUCUUUGAACGCACAUUGCGCCCCUUGGUAUUCCGGGGGGCAUGCCUGUUCGAGCGUCAUUAUAACCCCUCAAGCUCAGCUUGGUGUUGGGGCCUGCCAACUGGCAGCCCUUAAAAUCAGUGGCGGCGCCAUCUGGCUCUAAGCGUAGUAAUUUCUCUCGCUAUAGGGUCCCGGUGGAUGCUUGCCAACAACCCCCAAUUUUCUAUGGUUGACCUCGGAUCAGGUAGGGAUACCCGCUGAACUUAAGCAUAUCAAUAAGCGGAGGA
rnacentral:misc_RNA from 1 species